AUUGAACGCUGGCGGCAGGCCUAACACAUGCAAGUCGAGCGGAUGGAGGGAGCUUGCUCCUGGAUUCAGCGGCGGACGGGUGAGUAAUGCCUAGGAAUCUGCCUGGUAGUGGGGGAUAACGUCCGGAAACGGGCGCUAAUACCGCAUACGUCCUGAGGGAGAAAGUGGGGGAUCUUCGGACCUCACGCUAUCAGAUGAGCCUAGGUCGGAUUAGCUAGUUGGUGGGGUAAAGGCCUACCAAGGCGACGAUCCGUAACUGGUCUGAGAGGAUGAUCAGUCACACUGGAACUGAGACACGGUCCAGACUCCUACGGGAGGCAGCAGUGGGGAAUAUUGGACAAUGGGCGAAAGCCUGAUCCAGCCAUGCCGCGUGUGUGAAGAAGGUCUUCGGAUUGUAAAGCACUUUAAGUUGGGAGGAAGGGCAGUAAGUUAAUACCUUGCUGUUUUGACGUUACCAACAGGGUAAGCACCGGCUAACUUCGUG
rnacentral:rRNA from 1 species